rnacentral:rRNA from 1 species
CUGAGAGGAUGACCAGCCACACUGGAACUGAGACACGGUCCAGACUCCUACGGGAGGCAGCAGUGGGGAAUAUUGCACAAUGGGCGCAAGCCUGAUGCAGCCAUGCCGCGUGUAUGAAGAAGGCCUUCGGGUUGUAAAGUACUUUCAGCGGGGAGGAAGGGAGUAAAGUUAAUACCUUUGCUCAUUGACGUUACCCGCAGAAGAAGCACCGGCUAACUCCGUGCCAGCAGCCGCGGUAAUACGGAGGGUGCAAGCGUUAAUCGGAAUUACUGGGCGUAAAGCGCACGCAGGCGGUUUGUUAAGUCAGAUGUGAAAUCCCCGGGCUCAACCUGGGAACUGCAUCUGAUACUGGCAAGCUUGAGUCUCGUAGAGGGGGGUAGAAUUCCAGGUGUAGCGGUGAAAUGCGUAGAGAUCUGGAGGAAUACCGGUGGCGAAGGCGGCCCCCUGGACGAAGACUGAC